rnacentral:lncRNA from 1 species
CCUGUAGAUCUGUUGAUGGAGAUCUCACCCGCACCUCAAACGACCUCAGAUCAACUCCAGAUCUGCGAGCAACUUGUACCAACCUCUUCACAAGAGAUUUCAAGUCCUGGACUUGAUGUUUAGGUAGCUGCAAGAGAGGGAAAGAGAAAAGUGGUUGGUGGCACAAAGGGGGAGGGGCUAGCGCCUCCCCUAGUUUUCUUUCCUUCUAUGGACCUGGCGGCAAGAA